rnacentral:lncRNA from 1 species
UUUUAAAGUUUAAAAAUAUAAAAUUCACAAAAAUUUAAAAACUUUUCUACAAAAUUAAAGCGUCCUAAAUUUCAAAGGUCUAACACUGGCUUUGCCAGAAGUGUCAGGUAAAGCCCAAAAGCAGGAACCCAAUAGUAGUAAUGUCUCAAUAUAUGUUGACAGACUUCCCACAGGUGUGGAAUGUGAAAAGUGUGGUGCCCUUAUGCACCUAGGCUCUUUGGUUACAUUAAAGCUCAUAAAACUCCUGUUUUGAUCAGACUUAAGGUAGACAAGAAGUCAUCACUGCUGUAUGAAUUAAAGAAGUUGUGACCUGGCACUCCAGGAUCUUGAUAAGUUACCCGUAUGUCACGGAUUCCUCGCUAAAGUUCCUUGACAGGUUAUUGGAGAUAGGGCCCCUCCUGGAUGAGUGAUAUACCAUAAUAGACUAUGAAUCCUUGUACCUGUCCAUACGACAUGCCCCGGCGGCGCUCAUGUUGUACCACUUCAUGAUGCAACACAUCCCCAAAUCCGACAGGAUUAGUAUCCUCCUUAGAGAUGUAUGCCAUCUGAUUAAUUACAAGUUAUACUAUGUGUUUCAGGGGCAUUAUUAUAUACUAAAAAAGAGAGUCCCCAUUGGUGGCCCUCUAUCAGGGGUAAUGGUCGAGUUGGUCGUAAGGUUUAAGGAAACCAGUGUGCUUGACCUUCUCUGCUCAGAGUUCAAAUUGUUCCUUUGUUAUGUUGACGAUAUUUAUAUAAUUUGAAGAAACGAACCUGAUGAACAGUGCCUGGUGGACAUGCUUACAGAUGAUACGUUCAGCUUAAAGUGUGGGUGGAACAAACUUCUAUUACAGGCUUCCACUUUUUAGAUCUGCAGGUCAAGACUAAUAGGGGGCGAAUAUGUUACUAAGUCUAUAGGAAGCCAAUGUAUAUGCCUGUCCUGAUAUUGGCUUGGUCACAUGACUAUAUGUCAUAUAAGCUGACUGG